AGCGAACGCUGGCGGCAGGCUUAACACAUGCAAGUCGAGCGGGCGUAGCAAUACGUCAGCGGCAGACGGGUGAGUAACGCGUGGGAACAUACCUUUUGGUUCGGAACAACACAGGGAAACUUGUGCUAAUACCGGAUAAGCCCUUACGGGGAAAGAUUUAUCGCCGAAAGAUUGGCCCGCGUCUGAUUAGCUAGUUGGUGAGGUAACGGCUCACCAAGGCGACGAUCAGUAGCUGGCUGGGAGGAUGAUCAGCCACAUUGGGACUGAGACACGGCCCAAACUCCUACGGGAGGCAGCAGUGGGGAAUAUUGGACAAUGGGCGCAAGCCUGAUCCAGCCAUGCCGCGUGAGUGAUGAAGGCCCUAGGGUUGUAAAGCUCUUUUGUGCGGGAAGAUAAUGACGGUACCGCAAGAAUAGGCCCCCGGCUAACUUCGUGCCAGCAGCCGCGGU
rnacentral:rRNA from 1 species